rnacentral:rRNA from 1 species
AGCGAACGCUGGCGGCAGGCCUAACACAUGCAAGUCGAACGAACUCUUCGGAGUUAGUGGCGGACGGGUGAGUAACACGUGGGAACGUGCCUUUAGGUUCGGAAUAACUCAGGGAAACUUGUGCUAAUACCGAAUGCGCCCUUCGGGGGAAAGAUUUAUCGCCUUUAGAGCGGCCCGCGUCUGAUUAGCUAGUUGGUGAGGUAAAGGCUCACCAAGGCGACGAUCAGUAGCUGGUCUGAGAGGAUGAUCAGCCACAUUGGGACUGAGACACGGGCCAAACUCCUACGGGAGGCAGCAGUGGGGAAUUUUGCGCAAUGGGCGAAAGCCUGACGCAGCCAUGCCGCGUGAAUGAUGAGGGUCUUAGGAUUGUAAAAUUCUUUCACCGGGGACGAUAAUGACGGUACCCGGAGAAGAAGCCCCGGCUAACUUCGUGCCAGCCGCCGCAGUAA